AUUGAACGCUGGCGGCAUGCCUUACACAUGCAAGUCGAACGGCAGCACGGGUGCUUGCACCUGGUGGCGAGUGGCGAACGGGUGAGUAAUAUAUCGGAACAUACCCUAGAGUGGGGGAUAACGUAGCGAAAGUUACGCUAAUACCGCAUACGAACUAAGGUUGAAAGUGGGGGAUCGCAAGACCUCAUGCUCAUGGAGUGGCCGAUAUCUGAUUAGCUAGUUGGUGAGGUAAAGGCUCACCAAGGCGACGAUCAGUAGCUGGUUUGAGAGAACGACCAGCCACACGGGAACUGAGACACGGUCCAGACUCCUACGGGAGGCAGCAGUGGGGAAUUUUGGACACUGGGGGAGACCCUGAUCCAGCAAUGCCGCGUGAGUGAAGAAGGCCCUCGGGUUGUAAAGCUCUUUUGUCAGGGAAGAAACGGUCUACUCUAAUACAGUGGGCUAAUGACGGUACCUGAAGAAUAAGCACCGGCUAACUACGUGCCAGCCGCCGCAGUAACAC
rnacentral:rRNA from 1 species